GGCCAGACUCCUACGGGAGGCAGCAGUGAGGAAUAUUGGUCAAUGGGCGGAAGCCUGAACCAGCCAAGUCGCGUGAGGGAAGAAGGCCCUGCGGGUCGCAGACCUCUUUGGACGGGGAGCAAGGCCGCCGACGUGUCGGCGGAAGGAGAGUACCCGUAGAACAAGCAUCGGCUAACUCCGUGCCAGCAGCCGCGGUAAUACGUAGGGGGCAAGCGUUAUCCGGAUUUACUGGGUGUAAAGGGAGCGUAGACGGCAUGGCAAGUCAGAUGUGAAAGCCCGGGGCUCAACCCCGGGACUGCAUUUGAAACUGUCAGGCUGGAGUGCAGGAGAGGUAAGUGGAAUUCCUAGUGUAGCGGUGAAAUACGUAGAUAUUAGGAGGAACACCAGUGGCGAAGGCGACUUUCUGGACUGUACCUGACGCUGAGGCGCGAAAGCGUGGGUAGCGAACGGGAUUAGAUACCCGAGUA
rnacentral:rRNA from 1 species